rnacentral:rRNA from 1 species
AUUGAACGCUGGCGGCAUGCCUUACACAUGCAAGUCGAACGGCAGCACGGGAGCAAUCCUGGUGGCGAGUGGCGAACGGGUGAGUAAUAUAUCGGAACGUGCCCAGUCGUGGGGGAUAACGCAGCGAAAGCUGUGCUAAUACCGCAUACGAUCUAAGGAUGAAAGCGGGGGAUCGCAAGACCUCGCGCGAUUGGAGCGGCCGAUAUCAGAUUAGCUAGUUGGUGGGGUAAAGGCCCACCAAGGCGACGAUCUGUAGCUGGUCUGAGAGGACGACCAGCCAAACUGGAACUGAGACGCGGUCCAGACUCCUACGGGAGGCAGCAGUGGGGAGUUUUGGAAAAUGGGCGCAAGCCUGAUCCAGCCAUGCCGCGUGCAGGAUGAAGGCCUUCGGGUUGUAAACUGCUUUUGUACGGAACGAAACGGCCCUUUCUAAUACAGGGGGCUAAUGACGGUACCGUAAGAAUAAGCACCGGCUAACUACGUGCCAGCAGCCGCCGUAAUAC